rnacentral:pre_miRNA from 1 species
UGUUAAAAGUUUCAUCAAUUUUUACAAUUAAAAAUUUGUGUAGCUAACGGGAUAACUAGACAAUUAUAUGCGACAUGUCUUCUAUACCUCGUGCUGAUAUACAAGACCGAUUUUUAAUAGUAAAAAUAUUUUUUUUACA